AUUCAGAUAUAGAUCAUUUCUCAUCAUUUCCUAUUGGUAGCGACUGUUUUUGGACCUCCAAAUAUGGACAUUAUUAGACUAGGCUUGGCCAAAGAAAGUUGCAUUAUCACACGCAUAGAUACAGAAAGGGAAGCACUUCUAACCUUUACAAAAGGUCUCACUGAUCCUUCAGGCAGGCUUUCUUCCCGGGUAGGCGUCGAUUACUGCCAGUGGAGUGGCAUCGGA
rnacentral:lncRNA from 1 species